rnacentral:rRNA from 1 species
AGAGUUUGAUCCUGGCUCAGAGCGAACGCUGGCGGCAGGCUUAACACAUGCAAGUCGAGCGGGCGUAGCAAUACGUCAGCGGCAGACGGGUGAGUAACGCGUGGGAACGUACCUUUUGGUUCGGAACAACACAGGGAAACUUGUGCUAAUACCGGAUAAGCCCUUACGGGGAAAGAUUUAUCGCCGAAAGAUCGGCCCGCGCGUCUGAUUAGCUAGUUGGUGAGGUAACGGCUCACCAAGGCGACGAUCAGUAACCGGUCUGAAAAGAUUAUAAGCCCCAUUGGGAACUGAGACCCGGCCCCAAACUCCUACGGGGAGGCAGCAGUGGGGGAAUAUUGGACAAUGGGCGCAAGCCUGAUCCAGCCAUGCCGCGUGAGUGAUGAAGGCCCUAGGGUUGUAAAGCUCUUUUGUGCGGGAAGAUAAUGACGGUACCCGCAGAA